rnacentral:rRNA from 1 species
CGGAGGUACUCGAGUGGCGAACGGGUGAGUAACACGUGGGUGAUCUGCCCUGCACUCUGGGAUAAGCCUGGGAAACUGGGUCUAAUACCGGAUAGGACCGCACUUUAGUGUGUGUGGUGGAAAGUUUUUUCGGUGUAGGAUGAGCCCGCGGCCUAUCAGCUUGUUGGUGGGGUAAUGGCCUACCAAGGCGGCGACGGGUAGCCGGGCUGAGAGGUUGGUCGGCCACAUUGGGACUGAGAUACGGCCCAG